GGCAACGCGAAAAACCUGCUAAAACUUGGUUUUGGACCAAGACGUCGCAGGUUCAAAUCCUGUCGCUCCGGCCA
rnacentral:tRNA from 1 species